AGAGUUUGAUCCUGGCUCAGAUUGAACGCUGGCGGCAUGCCUUACACAUGCAAGUCGAACGGCAGCACGGGAGCAAUCCUGGUGGCGAGCGGCGAACGGGUGAGUAAUAUAUCGGAACGUGCCCAGUCGUGGGGGAUAACGUAGCGAAAGCUACGCUAAUACCGCAUACGAUCUACGGAUGAAAGCGGGGGACCUGUAAGGGCCUCGCGCGAUUGGAGCGGCCGAUAUCAGAUUAGGUUGUUGGUGAGGUAAAAGCUCACCAAGCCUGCGAUCUGUAGCUGGUCUGAGAGGACGACCAGCCACACUGGAACUGAGACACGGUCCAGACUCCUACGGGAGGCAGCAGUGGGGAAUUUUGGACAAUGGACGCAAGUCUGAUCCAGCAAUGCCGCGUGCAGGACGAAGGCCUUCGGGUUGUAAACUGCUUUUGUACGGAACGAAACGGUCUGCUUUAAUACAGUGGGCUAAUGACGGUACCGUAAGAAUAAGCACCGGCUAACUACGUGCCAGCAGCCGCGGUAAUACGUAGGGUGCGAGCGUUAAUCGGAAUUACUGGGCGUAAAGCGUGCGCAGGCGGUUAUAUAAGACAGAUGUGAAAUCCCCGGGCUCAACCUGGGACCUGCAUUUGUGACUGUAUAGCUAGAGUACGGUAGAGGGGGAUGGAAUUCCGCGUGUAGCAGUGAAAUGCGUAGAUAUGCGGAGGAACACCGAUGGCGAAGGCAAUCCCCUGGACCUGUACUGACGCUCAUGCACGAAAGCGUGGGGAGCAAACAGGAUUAGAUACCCUGGUAGUCCACGCCCUAAACGAUGUCAACUGGUUGUUGGGUCUUCACUGACUCAGUAACGAAGCUAACGCGUAAGUGACCCGCCUGGA
rnacentral:rRNA from 1 species